GUGGGGAAUCUUAGACAAUGGGGGCAACCCUGAUCUAGCCAUGCCGCGUGAGUGAUGAAGGCCUUAGGGUCGUAAAGCUCUUUCGCCGGGGAAGAUAAUGACUGUACCCGGUAAAGAAACCCCGGCUAACUCCGUGCCAGCAGCCGCGGUAAUACGGAGGGGGUUAGCGUUGUUCGGAAUUACUGGGCGUAAAGUGCGCGUAGGCGGAUCGGAAAGUUGGGGGGGAAAUCCCGGGGCUCAACCCCGGAAUUGCCUUCAAAACUCCCGGUCUUGAGGUCGAGAGAGGUGAGUGGAAUUCCGAGUGUAGAGGUGAAAUUCGUAGAUAUUCGGAGGAACACCAGUGGCGAAGGCGGCUCACUGGCUCGAUACUGACGCUGAGGUGCGAAAGCGUGGGGAGCAAACAGGAUUAGAAACCCCGGUAGUCC
rnacentral:rRNA from 1 species